GGAUCUCUCUCACUCGCUUGCCGUCUCCGAGGGUCACCUGAGAUCACAUUAGCAAAUGGGGAAGGCUGUUGCUGUGCUCACCAGCAGCGAGGGUGUGGCUGGCACUGUGUCCUUUGUCCAAGAAGGCGAUGGUCCGACGACGGUGAAUGGGACUCUGUCCGGGCUAAAGCCCGGCCUCCAUGGUUUUCAUGUUCACGCCCUUGGGGAUACCACCAACGGCUGCAUGUCUACUGGGCCACACUUCAAUCCUGCUGGAAAAGUGCAUGGAGCCCCCGAGGAUGAGAACCGUCAUGCUGGCGACCUUGGAAAUGUGACUGUCGAUGAAGAUGGUAAGGUUACCUUUACCAUUGUUGACAGCCAGAUUCCACUCUCUGGACCUAAUUCCAUUAUUGGAAGAGCUGUUGUUGUCCAUGCUGAUCCUGAUGAUCUUGGAAAGGGUGGACAUGAGCUUAGCCUGACCACUGGAAAUGCUGGAGGAAGAAUUGCAUGUGGCAUUAUUGGUCUUCAAGCUUGAGUUACCUAUCCAGUGUCGAGAGUGUGAGUCGUAUCAAGCAUGAGUUACCUAUCCAGUUAUCUUCCCAUCUCUAGAUUGCAAGUCUCCUGAAUAAAUAAACCAGUGUCGUAGCCGCUGGCACAUGUUAAGGUCAUUUGCAAACAGAACUCCAGUUUUCGGCUGUCUUAAACUUCAUUUGCUGUUGGCUCAUUUAGCUUGUGUCAUGAUUAUCAAUGAAAUACUUCAGACUGAAGUUAGUAACUUUCUUAUAUUAUUAUAUAUCCUGCUUUGUCAUCUUUACCUCUAGUGCGC
rnacentral:misc_RNA from 1 species